rnacentral:lncRNA from 1 species
CACCAACUCCAAAUAGAUGAUCCCCUUAACCCAGGCCAAAUCCACGUGCUAAUUGGCCAGCACAAAUGGAUCAUCUCCAAUCAACAAUACAGACUACAACAAAUUCCACCAAAAUCUUUUGACCAAAACUUCCCACCAAUGCAUUUGAACCAUCUUCAAUACCCAUGCAAGGUAUUCCCCCAGAGUUCAUAUCCAAUUAAAUUGUCUCAAAACCAUGCAAACCAAGCUUCAUGCAUACAACCCUCUUAAUAUCCUUGUGCUUUUGUGAUCCUGUGCCCUGUACUCCACGAAGGACCUCCCCCGAUGCAUGCUGCAAAAUCAAACCCCUUGAUCCAGGCCCAUGAGAAAAAUAAAAUCUGUUGAAUUAUGCGAUCCCGAUUCCACCUUUUAUUUUGGAAAAUAGAUUGAUUCUUGCAAUUCCAAAUUACCCACAGUUGCACACCACAAAUAUUUCCAUCUAUCAUUCACUUUACCAGACUCACCAACCAACACAUGUUGCCAAAAGUGUUGUUCUGUCGUGAGAGGUAGCACCAACAAUAUUGCCAACUUGUUAAUGAAGAAUUUCCAAAUCUCAUCCACACAUCUACAUGUAAACAAUAUAUGGUUGACACGUUCUGUCAUCUCCCCACAAAAAGAACACUGCAUUUGGUUCUCCUCCACAACUAUAUUUCUCCUAAGUAAAUUAUCCAUUGUGGGUAAUCUAUUCAUGAAGACUCUCCACAAGAAAAAAUUUACUUUAGGUGGUAUCUUUAGUUGCCAAAUCUCUUUAAAAAUAUCCACCUUUUCACUUUCAAGUUUAUAAGUGAACAACCUUAAGCUAUUUUUACCCAAUACAAGCCCGGUC